AGUGAACGCUGGCGGUAGGCCUAACACAUGCAAGUCGAACGGCAGCACAGUAAGAGCUUGCUCUUACGGGUGGCGAGUGGCGGACGGGUGAGGAAUACAUCGGAAUCUACUUUUUCGUGGGGGAUAACGUAGGGAAACUUACGCUAAUACCGCAUACGACCUACGGGUGAAAGCAGGGGAUCUUCGGACCUUGCGCGAUUGAAUGAGCCGAUGUCGGAUUAGCUAGUUGGCGGGGUAAAGGCCCACCAAGGCGACGAUCCGUAGCUGGUCUGAGAGGAUGGUCAGCCACACUGGAACUGAGACACGGUCCAGACUCCUACGGGAGGCAGCAGUGGGGAAUAUUGGACAAUGGGCGCAAGCCUGAUCCAGCCAUACCGCGUGGUGAAGAAGGCCUUCGGGUUGUAAAGCCCUUUUGUUGGGAAAGAAAAGCAGCAGGUUAAUACCCCGCUGUUCUGACGGUACCCAAAGAAUAAGCACCGGCUAACUUCGUG
rnacentral:rRNA from 1 species